UACGUAGGGUGCGAGCGUUGUCCGGAAUUAUUGGGCGUAAAGAGCUCGUAGGCGGUCUGUCGCGUCGGCUGUGAAAAACCCGGAGCUCAACUCCGGGCCUGCAGUCGAUACGGGCAAACUGGGAGUGUUGCAGGGGGAGACUGGAAUUCCUGGUGUAGCGGUGAAAUGCGCAGAUAUCAGGAGGAACACCAAUUGCGAAGGCAGCUCGCUGGGACGUUAACUGACGCUGAGACGCGAAAGCGUGGGGAGCAAACAGG
rnacentral:rRNA from 1 species